rnacentral:rRNA from 1 species
GGGGAAUUUUGGACAAUGGGCGGAAGCCUGAUCCAGCCAUGCCGCGUGAGUGAAGAAGGCCUUCGGGUUGUAAAGCUCUUUCGGUGGGGAAGAAAUCGCCUGUGCUAAUACCAUAGGCGGAUGACGGUACCCGCAUAAGAAGCACCGGCUAACUACGUGCCAGCAGCCGCGGUAAUACGUAGGGUGCGAGCGUUAAUCGGAAUUACUGGGCGUAAAGCGUGCGCAGGCGGUUGUGUAAGUCAGACGUGAAAUCCCCGGGCUCAACCUGGGAACUGCGUUUGAGACUGCACGGCUAGAGGAUAGCAGAGGGGGGUAGAAUUCCACGUGUAGCAGUGAAAUGCGUAGAGAUGUGGAGGAAUACCGAUGGCGAAGGCAGCCCCCUGGGCUAUUACUGACGCUCAUGCACGAAAGCGUGGGGAGCAAAC